GUGUGUUUGGAUGGGGGAAAAAGUGAGGGAAUUUAAAUAAAAAUAAGGAUUUCCCAAUUUCUUAGGACUGUUUCCAGUGUUUGGAUACUUAUCCCAUGAAAUUAGCAAUUUCCACGGGAAAAAAAUCGUGGAAUUUGAGGGCGCAGAUUCCUGACUUGAAUUCCUCUCAAGGUAGGUGUCAUUCUUCAAUUCCAUCCCAGCCGGAAAUCUCAUUUUCCAAAGCGCCAAAAUCAAAACAUGCCGCGCUAAGUUUUGAUCCAAACAACUCUAUAUAAAGCCACAAAACUUGCAAGACCUGGACUCCAAAAUUUGCGAUUGUUCUCAUAUCUGAGUUUUCUUCUGCUGCUAAAAAGGUUUUGCAAUCGUUCUUGUCGUUGAGUUUUCUUCUGGGGACCCUCUCUACCACCGCUGAAAAGGUUUAGGACGUAAAAUUUUUUAUGGGAGGAAACAAAGUUCAAUACCUAUAAAUAAAGGCUGAAGGUCCCUUCUCUAUUCAUUAUAUACACACAUACAUUAUUCUCAAACCCCAUUACGAGAGUGUCUAAGGAGAUUGCAUAGAGAAGAAGAGCUUCAAUGGCCACAGGAGGUUAGUAAUUCUGUUCAUCAAUAUUUACUUAAGAUCUGAAUUGUAUUCAUUAUGUACUUGUGUUCUCAUAUUGAGUGCAAAGCUAUUUCAGUUUUUAACAUUUUGACAUG